rfam:Stegodyphus mimosarum contig67645, whole genome shotgun sequence.
GCCUUCGUGGUGUAGUGGUUAGCAUGCUGGGCGCGUAUUCCAGAGGUCCGUGGUUCGAAUCCUGGCGAAGGCG